AUUCAAUUCAAAAUGGUUGACAAAAGGGAGCACCUACCAAUCUACUCCCCUACUCUGCUACUACAUUACAAUUUACAAUUCUCUUCCUCCAACUUUACUGUUUGUUUCCACUUUCUAUGUCCUCCAUAAAAAAUGGCCAAUCUCCCUCUUUAUUCUCUCUUGCUGACUACAGUUCUUUUCCUCUCUCUUUUCUAUUUUUGAAUUUUUUAUUUUCUAGGCAUCUUAUAUGUUUUAAUUUUCAUAAUUAUAAAAAUAUAUUAAUAUCAUAUAGAAGAUGGGGAGGAUCUUAUAGGAGUUUCUCAAUCUAUAUGCUUUUUCGUCUCAUUAAGCACUCAUCAAAUCCCCAUUAUUCCCAAACCAAACAACCAAAUUAGACACCAAACUUUUUCUGAUACACUUUUUUCUUCCUCCUUAAUAUUCUUCGUAACUUGGGGUUCUUCUCUGCUCAGCUUUGCUGCCUCAAAACAAUGAAUGAGCAAUAUUGGAAGAAGAGUGGUCAAAUACCGGUGUUUGGAAACUGGGAAAACGCGAAUGAGCUGCCAAUCACGCAGUACUUCGAGUGCGCGAGGCAGGCGGUCUCCGGGGGAUUGCUUCGCUACAGCAAUUCCUCCUCCGGGGAAUGCCAUUGCCAUCCCUAUGUCUCCGCCGGCGGCGGUGAUCAGCUCCGCGCCAUUGAUUUCAAGAAAUAUCCUCUUCCGACCACCGGCCUUCCACCUCCCCCUCCAAAG